rnacentral:lncRNA from 1 species
CCACUACCAGCACCAGCACCAGCGCCAACAGCAGCACCGACAGCAGCAACAGAGCCAACGUCAACUGGUGUGUUUCAGUGGCCUUAUGCUGCUCCAUCGACGAGCAUAACUGGCAGUGACUAUUGGAGCGGCAUUGUUUUUGGACGUCAGUGGUGCUUCUGCGGAUGGCGGAUGACGCGCGUGAAAUGACGAAGUGCGAAUGGUAGUACGAAAAACGGAGGACGAAAAUGUAGCGUCAGAAUUUGUUGCAUUCGCAGCGGUUUGUUGUGUUGUGGUGUUUUUUUGUAGUGCGAUUUUGUUUUUUUUUUACAUACUUACUUAUUUAGUUCAUUUUCGUUUUGUUUACGAGUUUCAAGUCUAUAGGCUGCUGGCGCGACGCGUAGGUAGACUUACAUACAUACAUACAUGUGUAAGUGUAAUUUGCGUAAAUGGGCGUGUAGCUGUAGUUGUUCUUGUUGCUGUUGUGAAUGAGUGAUUUGUGUAGUAAAUUUUUACAGCGUCUGAUUUGUAACAACGGCAGAGUGCAAAAGCAAAAAGAGAAAAAAAAAACAAAAACAAAAAGUCGCAGAGCAACUGAGUAAAAAACAAAAGUUAAAAAAUAACAGUGAAUGAGAGCACGCAACAAUACACUAACAACAACUGCAUAUGAACUCUGCAGGAUUCCUAUUUAUGCUUGCUUCUCUUUUGUUUUGUUAUGCUGCAUUUAAUUAGCUUGGCAGCAGAAACAAUUUAGCAACAACAAAGGCGAAGUAAACUAAAAGCAGCGAGGACAGACAGAUAGACCAACAACAAGUCAAACUAAAAAUGUUGUUUAUGCAAAAAAAAAGUUGAAUUGAAAAAGUUCAGCAGCUAAAGAGAGUUCGACCCACUGUCUACGCCGAGGGCACAAUUAAACCAGUUGUACAACAAGUUACUUUUAGGUGAAGGAAAAAGUUCAAAAAAGGCACAACAUUCGCUAGCGACUAAAAACCAACAAGAAGAACGCUACAAUAACAACACAACCGCACAAAAAAAAAACACGUUGGUUGGUUGGCUAAACCAGCGAUCGAAAAACAAAAGUCGAAAUUAAGCGAAACAAUAAAAUGUCUAACAACUAAAUGAAGAAAGAAAAAAGAAAAGAUAAAUUUUAAACUUACUCUAAGCCAAGGCAAGGCAAGUCAUAAGCAGAAAGAAGCCAAAAAGCUAAAAAAUAAUUGCAAGUGCAUAAAUGGCAAAAGUAAUUGCUGGCGAGUGGACAAAAGAUAUGCUGUGGAGGGGAAUGUUUAGUUAGUAAGGCGACGGCCAAGGAAUGGCCGGGGCGGGACGGCUAGUAGAAGAGUGCAAGUUAACAGUGAACGCUUAUGUGGACUUGCGACUAUAAGCUUUGGGGCUGUGUAGAUUUUGUGGUUGCUGUGGCGCAGCGUAGCAGAGGAGCGGAGCCAAAGCUGAGACAACAAACUGGUUUUCCAAGUGGCUUAACAACUUGAACUGACAAACGCGCAAAAAAAACAAUAAACAAAAGCAGCAAUAAUCAUAAUAAUAGUGGCGCAAACUAAGCACCGAGUUAGUACAAGAAGCAAAAACAACAACAAAAACAACAACAAAAAUGUCGAAAAACAUGAAUUACAUGAAAUGUAAAUGAGCGAGGCAGCCAGAAAACUACAUACAUACAUAUACAUAAAUAGUAGAUGGGAGUGUUGUGAGAACAACAACAAAAACAAAAGCAAAGAGCUAUACAAGCUAUACAGCUAUACAGCUAUACAACUGCAAUAAACAACAACCGCAAGCGCAGCUCAAUGGCGGCAGCACACCAAUCUCAAGCCCCAUUGAGGCCGGCCGCAAUUCAAAAGCCCAAACAAACACACAUCCAAAAGUCAGUUAGUAAGUCAUCGAGCGAGUUAGCGUGCGGGCGCGUACAAAUGACGCGGCGGCGUAACAACUGAAGUUUGUCAGCUUGGGGGCAUACACUGAGGCACUGGUUUUACGAAUCGCUGCGUUCUGUGGCCCGCUUUUUUGUCGAAGCAGCGGCGUUGGAGUGUCCCACGCAGAAUCU